rnacentral:snRNA from 8 species
AUAAUUACCUAGAUGGGGUCAAUGGGCAAUCAAAAAGAUCCAUUGCCUAGAAUAGUGACCUUCAUUGCAUAUAGGAAGAGUGUUGCACUAAGGUAUGCCCAAGUGGCAAAGCCUACAUCAUAAUUUAUGGUAGUGGAAGCCUGCGUUCGCAUGACUCUUAU